CUACGGGACGCUCCAGUGGGGGAUAUUGCACAAUGGGCGAAAGCCUGAUGCAGCAACGCCGCGUGAAGGAAGACGGUUUUCGGAUUGUAAACUUCUAUCAGCAGGGAAGAAAAUGACUGUACCUGACUAAGAAGCCCCGGCUAACUACGUGCCAGCAGCCGCGGUAAUACGUAGGGGGCAAGCGUUAUCCGGAAUUACUGGGUGUAAAGGGUACGUAGGCGGCUGAUCAAGUCAGAUGUGAAAGCCCGGAGCUCAACUCCGGGACUGCAUUUGAAACUGGUCGGCUAGAGUGCAGGAGAGGAAAGUGGAAUUCCUAGUGUAGCGGUGAAAUGCGUAGAUAUUAGGAAGAACACCAGUGGCGAAGGCGGCUCUCUGGACUGUAACUGACGCUGAGGUACGAAAGCUUGGGGAGCGAACAGGAUUAGAUACCCUCGUAGUC
rnacentral:rRNA from 1 species